CAUCUAUUCUUUAUUCCUGCCACUGUUCUCCUCUUGCUCUUUAGGUGACGUGGAACCUGUUUGGAACAACGUUGCAAUGGUACAUUUUUUGUUGGAUUUAAUGUCAUGACAAACUAACACCAAGAGCGUCAGUAUUUUCUUUGGGCUUUUCUUUAAUGAAAUGACAGCUUUUAUGGAUUUGUUUGUGCCUCUAAAAGUACAAUGAAUAAAUAACAAAAAACAAACACGAAAACCAGAAUCAACUCUACAAAAAUUAUCACUCCAAAAGUAAAAUCUUUAAGUUGCUAAAAAAACAACAAAAAAACAAACAACAUUUUUUUUUCCCCGAUAUUUGUAUUUCUGAAGUCAGGCAAAGUGAACCAAUCAGAAAAAGAACCGUUGUGGGUAGACGUUUUCAACAACUGGAUAUGAGGGCCUUUACAUGAUCAGUUUGGACAAGUCCUUUCCAGGGUGGAAUUAUCACACAAUUCCAGUAUUUUUUUCUUAGAGUGAGACUAACUAGUGAUUGGCUGCUGCCUCUUUAUUAUGUUUCCAUUGCAAAUGUUUGAAAAAUAUUGUCGACCUUCUGCCAAUGUCUAAAGAACACAAUUUUGCAAUUAUGGUGUCUCCAUGAAAUAACAAAUGCAAUUAAAAUCACAUGUGAAUAAGCUUGUUCAAAUAACAAGUCAUUGGUGUCUCAUUCAGGCAUUGGAGUGACUAGCCUCUUGUCCUUGAAGUGGUUACGUAUGCAGCGUUUUGGGGAAAUUGUAGUUGGAGACUUUACUCAUCCUAGUGUUAGUUUCCAUUAAGCAAAUUUAUUUUCCGAAUGCUAGUGUGAGCAGUUAGAUGGUCAAUGGAAAUACAGUUAGUGAGAAGGACUAGGUCGGUGUAUGGUUCAAACAAAUUCAGUGCCAAGGUAAUUCUUCUCGAUAGAAUGUGUAUCAUAUGCUCAACAGGAAGAGCGGCAGACAUUCACCUUAAAGGGCCUAUGUAAGGACAGAAUGUAAUUGUUAAAGGAAACAUUAUUCCUUCAAUUUGAUUUAUUUGAACAUGUUGGCCUAAAUAUGUUGUAAUUUUCCUAUUAAAUAAAAAAAAAUUCAGUUUGUGAUAUGUAAAAACUAUUAAUUACCUCAAAACAUGUAUGUCUUUCAUUAUAUUUUCACCCGUGCAAUGCAUGCUGGGUUGAUGAUGCGGUCAGGUCCGUUCUGUACUGGAAUCUACAGAGUAAACACAGGAAAGCUAAUUUUACAGGAGUUGUUUUUUAUCAUAUUGCGUUUGACUCGUGUAAAUUUAGAUAAUGUCACACUGUGUCGCUAUUGGUUGUAAUUAAAAGAAAUUGUGAGGCAAGUCUUCAUCGGUUUCCACAUGAAAAAAAGAAGAGCGCUGUGGGAAAGAGCCGAACACAUCUUCUGACUCUCAACAUUUAUGUCCAGAAGACUUUGAGUCAUUUGUAGGAGCAAAACUGAUGAAGGAUCUUAACAGGUGGUCGUUAUCCUGCAAUCUAAAGCCAAAUGCCAUGCCGAUAGUUUUUAUCCACAAUGUACCUAAACCCCACCGCUGGCUAGCGAGUGAAAGACACUGGGAGAAACAUCAGAGACAGGCAGCACUGGAAACUCUUUUGAAUACUAUCAGAGCAAUUGCUGCUGGCACCGGUACCAGAUGUAAAACCACAGCCUCGAGUCCAGACCUAAGACCAGACCCAAACAGGAAUUACCAGAUCGAAAACCAAACCUGACACAGAGAGCAUCAACUACUUAUGGGAUCACACAGUCCAAUCAGAGGUACAUGUCCCUCAGUGUUUCAUUCAUGAAGCUGAAGGUGGAAGCAGCAUCAAAACAUCAGCUCCUACAGCCAUCUCUGUCCUCUUCCUGGUGCUUCUCAUCUUCAUCACCUCUUGUGAUUUCUACAUUCCCAUCAAUUUCAGUGCACUCCGGUUCAAAUUGAAAAGGCUUAAUGGCGUUACUCAUUGCACUUUUGGUUGGAUGGAGUUAGCACAGUUGGGCCUAGCAUACAUCAUUUACUCACAAUACUUUGCAGUUGUGAUAUUGAGUGACAGUAUUUUAUUAAAAUUUAUAAAAACCACAAAACCUACAGAAUUUUUACUGUAUUGUUUUUCUGUUUCUAAAAUAAAUAUUUCUCAAAUAAAUAUUUAUUUGAGAAAUAAAUAUUUGUUACUAUACUAUAAUUGUUACUACAACUAAUCAUGUUGUUACAAAUAAUCAUGGAUCCCUUUAAGUACAUCCCAGUGUAAGUAAAGUGACCUGCAUGGUUGGACUGAAGUGCAGAAAUUGGUUCCAAUUGUCGCCGUUGUAUUAUGAAAUUGUGUAAUUUUGUUCUUAGCCUGAUGCCAUUCACCACCCUGGCAAACUUUUCACCCACCUCUGCAUGCAAAACUAUUUUGUGAUUGGUCAGAAUUUUGUGGGUGUCUUUGAAGCAGGAUAUCUGUGUUUGUUUUUUACAGGUUUUAGCAAUUCACCUUGAGAAAGGAACUAGUUAAUGAAGCCUGGUAAAGUAAAGGUACAAAGUGCAACACAGAACUGUACAGAAAAUCAUUUCUGCCUGUAAUGUAAAUCACAUUUUUUUCUGCACUCAUUUAAAGAUUAUUUAUAGAUUAACAUAUUGGCAUGUGUAAGAUAAUUUAUUUAUUGAUUAUUUAUUUAUGUAUAUUCAGGCAUAUUGAGUUACUUACAUCACUCUUAGGUAUAUUUAUUUAUAAACUCUAUCUCUUAUGGUUAUAUUUGGAUUAAUAUUUAACACAUUGCUCUCUGGGAAUAUGGAGUAUCAGGCCCUUUGAUAUGGGCUGUUAGGUUCCUGUAUGACCGGUGUCUGAUCCUCAUUGGUGGCAGUAAGUCGGGCUCGUUUCAGGUCAGUCUGUCGUGGUGAAGAGAGAGCUGAGUCAAAAAGCGAAGCUUUCGAUUUAUCUGUCGAUCAUCUAUGGUCAUGAGUUUUGGGUCAUGACCAAAAGAACAAGGUCGGAAUGGGUUUUCUUUGUAGGGUGUCUGGGCUAUCCCUUAGAGAUAGGGUGAGAAGUUCGAUCAUCCGGGUAGAGCCGCUGCUCCUCCACACAAGAGAGAAGCCAGUUGAGGUGGCUCAGGCAUCUUAGGGUUAGGAUGCCUCCUGGACGCCUCCCUGGUGAGGCGUUCCGGGCACGUCCCACCGGGCGGAGGCCCGGGGAAGACACAGGACACACUGGAGGGACAAUGUUUCUCGGCUGGCCUGGGAACGCCUUGGGAUUCCCCUGGAGAAGCUGGAACAAGUGGCUGGGGAGAGGGAAAUCUGGGCCUCCCUUCUUAGGCUGCUGACCCCGUGACCCGAUCCCGGAAGAAGGUUGAUGGAUUUAAUACAUUGGAAGGAGUAGCUUAUCAACUAAUAAGCAAUUUUUGCUUGGGGAUCAAUAAAGUAUAUUCUGUUCUAAAUUAAUGACAUUCAUAUCUAUAAUGAGUAUUGGUAAACCACAACUAGAUUUACUUUUGGAAGGAUUUUUUGUGUAGUGCAGUUGGUUUAUUAAGUUUGUUACAGUAUUUUUACUAUUGAAUUUUAGUUUUUAUUUAGAUGUCAGUGUUUCUUGUCUGGGGCCACCUUGUCUUGUCAAACACUGUCCAUUUGCAAUUAGUUGGACUUUGUCCAACUGAAUUGGCACUGGAGCAACCCUUUCUAUGAAGAGGAGCUGCAGAUUAUGUCCACAAGGCAAAUUAUAAUAAUGUAAUUUUGGCCUACAUGUGGCAGAAAUGGUGUGUGCAGAUCCCCGAGGAGAUCUGGAAAAGGACACAUCGGGGUUGCAGAGGAUUAAACAAACAGCGGAGGAGAGCAAAAAGGAAGAAACAACAGAGGCUUUUGGAGAAGAGAAGUUAUAAGCUGUUUCUCCCCUCUGUCACCAUGGGCAACGUUAGAUCAAUGACUAACAAAAUAGAUGAAUUAACAUCGCUGUCCAGGAGCCAGAAUGAAUACCGGGAAUGUAGUUUAAUGUGUUUUAUGGAGACAUGGCUGCACCCGGACAUUGCUGAUUCCAAUGUUACCAUCAAGGGCUACCGGACUGUUCGGGCAGAUAGGGAUUGCACCGAGAGCGGUAAGCGGAAAGGAGGCGGGCUUGCUGAUCUAGUCAACAACCGUUGGUGCAAUCCUGCUCAUAUAACGGUAAAGGACAGAAUCUGCUGCCCGGACGUUGAACUGUUGGCGGUUGGUCUUCGUCCGUUUUACCUGCCCCAUGAAUAUUCCCAUGUUGUCGUGGUGACUGUUUACUUUCCUCCCUUUGCUAGCCCCAUGGUGACCUGUAACGUCAUCCACUCUGUAGCUCGCUUGCAGACUGAACAUCCAACUGCAUUCAUGGUUGUCUUGGGUGAUUUUAAUCAUGUCACCAUGGACAAAACCCUGCCCAGCUUCCCCCAGUAUGUGAGCUGUCCCACCUGAGAGGACAGAACUCUGGACCUGCUGUAUGCUAACGUAAAGGAUGCAUACAGUUCCUGUCCCCUCCCUCCACUCGGACGGAUGGAUCAUAACCUGGUGCACCUCAGCCCAUGUUAUAUGCCUCUGGUGAAGAGACAGCCUGCAACAAUUAGGACAGUGAGAAGGUGUUCAAAGGAGGUCACACUGACACCCCCAUGGAUGUUUUGAGGCCACUGACUGGCAUGCACUCUGUGAGCCGAAUAUGGAGGACAUCUAUGAGCUCACUGAGUGCAUAACACAUUAUAUCAGCUUCUGUGUUGAUUCCAUCAUCCCUACUGAGACAGUUUACUGUUACCCAAAUAACAAGUCCAGGGUAACAAAGGAGAUCAAGACAAUCCUGAAUAAGAAGCAGAGGGUGUUCAGAGAUGGCAACAGGGAUGAUGAGAGUAAUUCAGAGGUGCUUGAAGGUGAAGAUCAGAAGAGCUAAAGAGGAUUACAAGAGGAAGAUGGAGAGGAAACUCCAGCAGAAAAACAUCAGAGAGGUCUGGAGAGGGAUUAGGACUAUCACUGGGUUCAGAUCAGCAGGCUUUGGAGCGGUUGAGGGAACGUUGACAGAGCCAAUGAACUCAACCUGUUUUUAAACAGAUUUGAUACUGCGACCCCUGUACCUUCUGCUCACACUCCCAUCAAUGCUGCUGCUGUCCAACAACUCUCCCCUCCCACUCCUCAGAGUCCUUCAUCUCACCUUCACACCUCCUUCCCACCUCUUCUACUCGGUGACCUUUCCCCCACCCCUCAGCUGGCUACCUCUACAGGAAACGUCACCGCUGAAGAUGUUAGAAGACAGGGAGAGAAGGGUGAGACUCCACCCUUGCAAGGCUGCAGGCCCUGACGGAGUCAGCCCGGGGGUACUCAAAGCUUGUGCUGUCCUGCUCUGUGGAGUCCUCCAGCAUGUCUUCAACAUGAGGCUGUGCCAACAGAGGGUUACUGUGAUGUGGAAAACAACCUACAUUAUUCUGGUACCAAAGACGCAGCGUCCCUGUGACUCCAAGGACUACAGGCCUGUGGUACUGACCUCCUACAUCAUAAAGUCCCUGGAGAGACUCGUCCUGGAGCAGCUCCACACUCUGGUCCAACCACACUUGGACCCCUUGCAGUUUGCCUAACAGCCCAAGCUUGGACUUGAGGACACCAUCAUCUUCCUGCUUAACCAUGUAUACGCUCACCUGGACCAGCUGGUGAGCACUGUGAAAAUUAUGUUUUUUGACUUCUCGGGUGCAUUCAACACCAUCAAUCCAUCUCUCCUGGGUUAGAAACUGAUGGCAAUGCAGUUGGAUCUCCCCUUGUGUCCUGAAUUGUGGACUAUCUAAAUGGCAGACCAUAGUUUGUGCACCAGUGACACUAUGUAUCAGACAGUGUUGUCAGCAACACAGGAGCUCCACAAGGGACUGUCCUCUCUCCCUUCCUCUUCAUCCUCUAUACAACUGUAGUUGCAUUUUGUUCAAGCUGCAGUAUAUAACUAAUAAAAUAUAUGUUCUCUCCAUAUCUGUUAAAGCUGUCGCCAUGUCGUGAUAGUUUGCUAUGAGACAGAUAAUCUGUGAAAAGAUCAAUCUCCUCCACAGUAAUAAAUAUUGCUUUUCUUGUGCAAUUGUAAAAAGAGCAGAGAGACAGGAAAAAGCCAAAUAGACUUUCUGGAAUGAUGCUAACUAGCUUGUCAUUGAACACAAUGUUGCUCACCUUUAUCACUGGGAAAGGGGUGAGAGGUUAUGCUGGUAUUGGGGUUAGAGCUGCUGCUGACUGACUCAUCUGUUGUUAAGUGUGGUAAAAGGUCCAAGGGCAUGUUAUGAAUAUGUUGGUAGAUUUUUCCCCCUCAUUCAUUAAAAGAAAUGGAGGCAAACAGUAAUCUGUAGCUAAGCUAACUAUGCUAAAUGGUCGAUUAUCUCAAACAGUCUACCAACCUCUUCCUUUCCUCUACUCCCUCUUCACCUACGACUGCAGACCUGUUCACGGCUCUAACGCCAUCAGCAAGUUUGCAGACGACACCACGGUGAUCGGCCUCAUCAGAGAUAAUGACGAGGCCGCUUACAGGGAGGA